rnacentral:misc_RNA from 1 species
GGGGUAUCUUAUAAAGGAAAUUUUGUAAUUCAAUCUAUGAAUAUAUUAUCCUCCAACUGGUAAGCCAUGUUUGAAGUGGUAGAAUUUGGUUGGGGCUUAAUUUGAGAUUGUUUUUUUGGACACGUGAAAUUUUUAACAAUGUCCUUCACUCAUGCUUAGUUUGAAGGCUGCAGAUCUUUGUAAUUUGGUUGCAAUAGGGAUUAAUAACAAUAGAAAGAGGAUUUGAUGUGACAAGCAAGAGUGGAUAUUGGGAUUCUUA